rnacentral:misc_RNA from 1 species
GAUGAAGAACGUAGCGAAAUGCGAUACGUAAUGUGAAUUGCAGAAUUCAGUGAAUCAUCGAGUCUUUGAACGCACAUUGCGCCCCCUGGUAUUCCGGGGGGCAUGCCUGUCCGAGCGUCAUUGCUGCCCUCAAGCACGGCUUGUGUGUUGGGCCUCCGUCCUCCUCCCGGGGGACGGGCCCGAAAGGCAGCGGCGGCACCGCGUCCGGUCCUCGAGCGUAUGGGGCUUCGUCACCCGCUCUUGUAGGCCCGGCCGGCGCUUGCCGAUCAACCCAAAUUUUUAUCCAGGUUGACCUCGGAUCAGGUAGGGAUACCCGCUGAACUUAAGCAUAUCAAUAAGCGGAGGA